rnacentral:misc_RNA from 1 species
GAUGAAGAACGCAGCGAAAUGCGAUAAGUAAUGUGAAUUGCAGAAUUCAGUGAAUCAUCGAAUCUUUGAACGCACAUUGCGCCCGCUAGUAUUCUGGCGGGCAUGCCUGUCCGAGCGUCAUUUCAACCCUCAAGCCCCCGGGCUUGGUGUUGGGGAUCGGCGAGCCUCCGCGCCCGCCGUCCCCUAAAUCUAGUGGCGGUCUCGCUGUAGCUUCCUCUGCGUAGUAGCACACCUCGCACUGGGAAACAGCGCGGCCACGCCGUUAAACCCCCAACUACUGAACGUUUGACCUCGGAUCAGGUAGGAAUACCCGCUGAACUUAAGCAUAUCAAUAAGCGGAGGA